rnacentral:rRNA from 1 species
UGCGUAGGCGGGCUAAUAAGUCAGUGGUGAAAUCUUCCGGCUCAACCGGGAACCUGCCAUUGAUACUGUUAGUCUUGAGUUCGGCUGAGGUAGGCGGAAUGUGUAAUGUAGCGGUGAAAUGCUUAGAUAUUACGCAGAACACCAAUUGCGUAGGCAGCUUACUAGACCGACACUGACGCUGAGGCACGAAAGCGUGGGGAGCGAACAGGAUUAGAUACCCUGGUAGUCC